rnacentral:sRNA from 1 species
UCGUCAGGCCGGCAGGCACACCCCGGUGCCGCCCAGGCCGCAGUAGCCGUUGGGGUUCUUCGCCAGGUACUGCUGGUGGUAGGCCUCGGCGUAGUAGAAGGGCGGGACGUCGGCGAUCUCGGUGGUGAUGCGGUCGUAGCCGGCUUUCGCCAGUUCGGCCUGGAAGCUCUCCCGGCUGGCCAUGGCCGCGGCUUUCUGGGCCGCGUCGAAGGUGUAGAUCACCGAGCGGUACUGGGUGCCGAUGUCGCCGCCCUGGCGCAUGCCCUGGGUCGGAUCGUGGGCUUCCCAGAAUACCUUGAGCAGCUGUUCGAAGCUGGUCUCCUGCGGGUUGUAGACCACCAGCACGACCUCGCUGUGGCCGGUCAGGCCGGAGCAGACUUCGUCGUAGGUCGGGUUCGGCGUGUAGCCGCCGGCAUAACCCACCGCGGUCACCCAGACACCCGGUUGCUGCCAGAGGCGACGCUCGGCGCCCCAGAAGCAGCCCAUGCCGAACAGCACCUG